rnacentral:rRNA from 1 species
UACGUAGGGGGCAAGCGUUGUCCGGAUUCAUUGGGCGUAAAGAGCGUGUAGGCGGCCAGGUAGGUCGGUUGUGAAAACUGGAGGCUCAACCUUCAGAGGUCGACCGAAACCAUCUGGCUAGAGUCCGGGAGAGGAGAGUGGAAUUCCCGGUGUAGCGGUGAAAUGCGCAGAUAUCGGGAAGAACACCCGUGGCGAAGGCGGCUCUCUGGGACGGUACUGACGCUGAGACGCGAAAGCGUGGGGAGCGAACAGG